UACGUAGGGGGCAAGCGUUGUCCGGAUUUAUUGGGCGUAAAGAGCUCGUAGGUGGUUCGGUAAGUCGGAUGUGAAAUCUCCAGGCUCAACCUGGAGGGGUCAUUCGAUACUGCCGUGACUAGAGGUCGGUAGGGGAGUGUGGAAUUCCUGGUGGAGCGGUGAAAUGCGCAGAUAUCAGGAGGAACACCGGUGGCGAAGGCGGAUCUCUGGGCCUGUCCUGACGCUGAGGCGCGAAAGCUAGGGGAGCGAACAGG
rnacentral:rRNA from 1 species